rnacentral:rRNA from 1 species
GCCUUUAGGUUCGGAAUAACUCAGGGAAACUUGUGCUAAUACCGAAUGUGCCCUUCGGGGGAAAGAUUUAUCGCCUUUAGAGCGGCCCGCGUCUGAUUAGCUUGUUGGUGGGGUAAUGGCCCACCAAGGCGACGAUCAGUAGCUGGUCUGAGAGGAUGACCAGCCACAUUGGGACUGAGACACGGCCCAAACUCCUACGGGAGGCAGCAGUGGGGAAUCUUGCGCAAUGGGCGAAAGCCUGACGCAGCCAUGCCGCGUGGAUGAUGAAGGUCUUAGGAUUGUAAAAUCCUUUCACCGGUGAAGAUAAUGACUGUAGCCGGAGAAGAAGCCCCGGCUAACUUCGUGCCAGCAGCCGCGGUAAUACGAAGGGGGCUAGCGUUGCUCGGAAUUACUGGGCGUAAAGGGAGCGUAGGCGGACAUUUAAGUCAGGGGUGAAAUCCCAGAGCUCAACUCUGGAACUGCCUUUGAUACUGGAUGUCUUGAGUGUGAGAGAGGUAAGUGGAACUCCGAGUGUAGAGGUGAAAUUCGUAGAUAUUCGGAAGAACACCAGUGGCGAAGGCGACUUACUGGCUCAUUACUGACGCUGAGGCUCGAAAGCGUGGGGAGCAAACAGGAUUAGAUACCCUGGUAGUCCGCGCCGUNAACGAUGAUUGCUAGUUGUCGGGAAGCUUGCUUCUCG